rnacentral:rRNA from 1 species
GUAACAAGGUUUCCGUAGGUGAACCUGCGGAAGGAUCAUUAUCGAGUUUUGAAAGGGGUUGUAGCUGGCCUUACGAGGCACUGUGCACGCCCCGCUCAAUCCACUCUACACCUGUGAACUAACUGUGGGUCUUUCUGGGGGUUUGCAUUCGUUUGUAAGCCCUUUGAGAGCUCAUGUUUACCUUACAAACACUUAUAAAGUAAUUGAAUGUGUAUUGCGAUGUAACGCAUCUAUAUACAACUUUCAGCAACGGAUCUCUUGGCUCUCGCAUCGAUGAAGAACGCAGCGAAAUGCGAUAAGUAAUGUGAAUUGCAGAAUUCAGUGAAUCAUCGAAUCUUUGAACGCACCUUGCGCUCCUUGGUAUUCCGAGGAGCACGCCUGUUUGAGUGUCGUGUAAUUCUCAACCUACAAGGUCCUUGUGGCUUUGUUAGGAUUGGAUAUUGGAGGGUUUAAUUGUCGGCUUGCAUGAGUCGGCUCCUCUUAAAUGCAUUAGCUUGGUCCUUUGCGGAUCGGCUCUCGGUGUGAUAAGUUUGUCUAUGCCGUGACCGUGAAGCGUUUUGUUGGGAAUGAGCUUCUAAUAGUCUCUUUACUUGAGACAAUACACUUUGACAUCUGACCUCAAAUCAGGCGGGACUACCCGCUGAACUUAAGCAUAUCAAUAAGCGGAGGAAAAUAUAGCUAGCCAAGGAUUCCCCUAGUAACUGCGAGGAAAGCGGGGAA